CAGUAACUAUCUAUGAUCUAUGUCAAAUGUCUUCGAAUGGUCUUCGCUAAUUUAUUAUUCCUUCUUAGGUCUUGGAGAAGACUGCUACCAUUUUUGCUGCCCAGUAACAGAAACGGCGCCUGAAGGUAUAGAAAGGAUUUUCAUCUAUGGAUCUUCCGGCUUUUCUGCGCAACUCUGAUGUUUGAUCUUGUCAUCUUGUCUUGGAGCAUUGCGCAUUGCAGAGCGUUGGCGGAGAGAAUUCGCCAUUUUUGCUGUCCAGAAAUAUAAACUACACCUGAAGAGUUGCUGUGAGGUACCUAACACCUUGUAUUAGAUGGCCAAACUACUUACGAUCUAAUGUUUGCAGCAGUCAGACUUAUUUUUAUUCAUUGGACACAGGAUGAUUCCAAAUCUUAUAUUUCAUUUGUUUGGCAAUAAUUCCUACUACAAGUUUUUGCUCUUCUGAAUUGUAAAAGUUGUCAUUUAAACAUAUUAAAUGAGCGUUGAUAUGACAAAUAAGGAUUCGAAACCUGAAGAAGUGCAGCACCAUUAGAGCUCCCUCCUUUGGACUUAGGGCUGUUUCUGGAAUAGGUAUUGCAGUUUUUCAGAAAAUACUAUAUGAUUCAUUCAUAGGCUUCAUUUCCUCGUCAGUGUUUUUUUCUUAUAAGUGUCUACUGUUGGAGGCACUUCUCUAUUGUGAACGCUUAGGAGUAAAACUGAAGCAUCGAACAGUAUUCUUCUAGAUUACCCAACAAUUGAGAGAGAAUUAAAGUUAAGGUAGAUCGUGCAGAAAUAAACUAUCUACAAUGGUGCUGUCUUUCCUUGACUAAAUAAUUGAUUUGCUGUUUCGUCUUCCCUUUUUGCAACAUCAUGCAGUUAAUUUUCAACCCAUGAGUGAGAGCAACUGGUUAUUUGAAUUCCACUGAAACAACAAAUUGUCUGCAGUGGUAUCCCUCCCAGAUAUGGUUUGCUCAGCACACUGGAAGACUAGAACGCCACUUUCUACAAUUAAUUAAGGUUAUCCAACAAAUGAGAGAGAAUUAAUGUUCAGUUUGAUCAUACUGAAACAGCCAAUGUCUACAUGGGCGUUGUCUUUCGUGGAUUAUAUUCUUGAUUUGCUGUUUUCGUCUUCACCUUGCAACAUUAUGCAGUUAAUUUUCAAGUGAUGAGUGA